AUUGAACGCUGGCGGCAGGCCUAACACAUGCAAGUCGAGCGGAUGAAGGGAGCUUGCUCCUGGAUUCAGCGGCGGACGGGUGAGUAAUGCCUAGGAAUCUGCCUGGUAGUGGGGGAUAACGUCCGGAAACGGGCGCUAAUACCGCAUACGUCCUGAGGGAGAAAGUGGGGGAUCUUCGGACCUCACGCUAUCAGAUGAGCCUAGGUCGGAUUAGCUAGUUGGUGGGGUAAAGGCCUACCAAGGCGACGAUCCGUAACUGGACUGAGAGGAUGAUCAGUCACACUGGAACUGAGACACGGUCCAGACUCCUACGGGAGGCAGCAGUGGGGAAUAUUGGACAAUGGGCGAAAGCCUGAUCCAGCCAUGCCGCGUGUGAAGAAGGUCUUCGGAUUGUAAAGCACUUUAAGUUGGGAGGAAGGGCAGUAAGUUAAUACCUUGCUGUUUUGACGUUACCAACAGAAUAAGCACCGGCUAACUUCGUG
rnacentral:rRNA from 1 species